rnacentral:rRNA from 1 species
GCUGGCGGCAGGCCUAACACAUGCAAGUCGAGCGGUAACAUUUCUAGCUUGCUAGAAGAUGACGAUCGGCGGACGGGUGAGUAAUGCUUGGGAAUAUGCCUUAAGGUGGGGGACAACAGUUGGAAACGACUACUAAUACCGCAUAACGUCUACGGACCAAAGAGGGGCUUCGGCUCUCGCCCUUAGAUUAGCCCAAGUGGGAUUAGCUAGUUGGUGAGGGUAAUGGGCUCACCAAGGGCGACGAUCCCUAGCUGGUUUGAGAGGGAUGAUCAGCCACACUGGAACUGAGACACGGUCCAGACUCCUACGGGAGGGCAGCAGUGGGGAAUAUUGCACAAUGGGCGCAAGCCUGAUGCAGCCAUGCCGCGUGUGUGAAGAAGGCCUUAGGGUUGUAAAGCACUUUCAGUAAGGAGGAAAGGUUAGUAGUUAAUACCUGCUAGCUGUGACGUUACUUACAGAAGAAGCACCGGCUUAACUCCGUGCCAGCAGCCGCGGUAAUACGGAGGGUGCGAGCGUUAAUCGGAAUUACUGGGCGUAAAGCGUACGCAGGCCGGUUUGUUAAGCGAGAUGUGAAAGCCCCGGGCUCAACCUGGGAACUGCAUUUCGAACUGGCAAACUAGAGUAUGAUAGAGGGUGGUAGAAUUUCAGGUGUAGCGGUGAAAUGCGUAGAGAUCUGAAGGAAUACCGAUUGGCGAAGGCAGCCACCUGGGUUAAUACUGACGCUCAUGUACGGAAAAGCGUGGGGAGCAAACGGGAUUAGAUACCCCGGUAGUCCACGCCGUAAACGAUGUCUACUAGGAGCUGGGGUCUUCGGACAACUUUUCCAAAGCUAACGCAUUAAGUAGACCGCCUGGGGAGACGGCCGCAAGGUUAAACUCAAAUAAUUGACGGGGGCCGCACAACGGUGGAGCAUGUGUUUAAUUCGAUGCAACGCGAAGAACCUACCUACACUUACAUACAGAGAACUUACUAGAGAUAGUUUGGUGCCUUCGGGAACUCUGAUACAGGUGCUGCAUGGCUGUCGUCAGCUCGUGUUGUGAGAUGUUGGGUUAAGUCCCGCAACGAGCGCAACCCCUAUCCUUAGUUGCCAGCGAUUCGGUCGGGAACUCUAAGGAGACUGCCGGUGAUAAACCGGAGGAAGGUGGGGACGACGUCAAGUCAUCAUGGCCCUUACGUGUAGGGCUACACACGUGCUACAAUGGCGCAUACAGAGUGCUGCAAGCUCGCGAGAGUUAGCGAAUCACUUAAAGUGCGUCGUAGUCCGGAUUGGAGUCUGCAACUCGACUCCAUGAAGUCGGAAUCAGCUAGUAAUCGCGGAUCAGAAUGCCGCGGUGAAUACGUUCCCGGGCUUUGUACACACCGCCCGUCACACCAUGGGAGUGGGUUGCUCCAGAAGUAGGUAGCUUAACCUUAGGGAGGGCGCUUACCACGGAGG